rnacentral:ncRNA from 1 species
CGUCGCGAGGCGGAAUCCGAAGGAAGCCGUAGGCGAAACCUCGGCUGAGGAACACGAACCGUAUCAGGCGGACGCGGCGGGUGAGGCUGCGGAACAAGCCGAAGCCCCAUAGCUGCACGGAAGCCCCACGCGUAAAUGCGGCAGGUAGGCGGAGGGAAAGAGA